rnacentral:tRNA from 1 species
GCGGGUGUGGCGGAACUGGCAGACGCACUAGACUUAGGAUCUAGCGCCUUGGGCAUGCAGGUUCGAUUCCUGUCACCCGCACCA